AUACGUAGGUGGCAAGCGUUAUCCGGAUUUACUGGGUGUAAAGGGCGUGUAGGCGGGUUUGCAAGUUGGAUGUGAAAUCCUCAGGCUUAACCUGAGAGGGUCAUCCAAAACUGCAGAUCUUGAGUACUGGAGAGGAUAGUGGAAUUCCUAGUGUAGCGGUAAAAUGCGAAGAUAUUAGGAGGAACACCGGUGGCGAAGGCGACUAUCUGGACAGUAACUGACGCUGAGGGGCGAAAGCGUGGGUAGCAAACAGUAUUAGAUCCCCUGGUAGUCCACGCCGUAAACGAUGAAUACUAGGUGUAGGGGGUAUCGACUCCCUCUGUGCCGCAGUUAACUCAAUAAGUAUUCCGCCUGGGGAGUACGGCCGCAAGGUUAAAACUCAAAUGAAUUGACGGGG
rnacentral:rRNA from 1 species